UAAAUAAUCGAGCAAUUAAUAUUAUUAUUAAACCAAUGUGAACAUGCCACAUGGACAUAAUUAUGAAUAAUUAGCGAUAAUUGAGAUACUUAAUGACUGCGAUCAAAAAAUAUUAUGCAAGCUUAAAAUAUAAAAAUAUUGAUCUUUCUUGUUCUAGUUGGAAAGAACUGCUCUUCAUUACGCAAUGGGCGUGCCGUCUGUCGAAGUCUUGAGUAACCUAUUGAUCAAGGCGGGCGCGAAACGCAUCGUCAAAGAUCUGAAAUCCCGACAGCCCUCAUAUUACUUCAUGAAUAAGUCUGAUAUUGAGCGACUUCAAGAAGAGGAAAAAUCCAUGACCGCGUAAUUAUACAAUAUUAUAAACACCAGCCUCAUAAUAACACGAUCACAUUUUAAUAUAUUCAUGCGCUUCAUUGAAAUAUAUAUCGAUGAAUCAAAGCCGAUAGGAAGAGAAACCGGUAUAAAGCGACAAAUAAUCUCCAUAGUAUCGAUCGUUUACAAAAUUGAAUGUAGAAUAAGUGUAUUUCGAAUCUUAAUAGAUCUAUAUU